AUGAGGAAACACUCUCCUCUGCCUCUAGAACAGCAGAAUCCACGUAGCUUCACUAAGUUUUCGUGUGACAACGAAGAUAAAAGCUUUAAACCGUUCAUGAAUUCGACUUCUUCGUUCUUGCAACUGCUUAUGUUGAUGCUUCUGAUAGCUACCGGAGAACCAUCUCUGAGGACUCCUUUGAACACUGAGGUGAAGCUGUUUCUGCUCAAUAGAUUAGCUUCUGAGAAGCAUUGGGUUGCUGAUUCAAUGUCUUCUAAGCAAGACUCACUAAAGGCGAUGCACGGAACUCUUUUUGUUGAUCUGUGCUUAGUCUUCCCUCGGAAAACUCAGCGAAAGAAGGUCAAUAUACCAGCACCAAUCAAUGUUAUAGUGACGGUAAUCACGCUUGAAAUCAAAGCAACUUGUGGGAGAGGCUGCUUAAAUUGUUCGAUAUUAUUCGCAUUAUCGAAAGCAGAACAAGCUCUCAAAGAAGGAAAAUCGAUACCACAUAACCCGGUGUUGUUCUCAAACUGGAAGCUCCCAUUCAACUUCUUAAGACCUUUGAAGAAACAUAACGAAGAAAAAACCGAGUCAAGAAACAGAGAGAUAAGCUCUUACAAAGACGUUUCAAGAAUCAUUAACUCACCAGGAGGAACAAAGCCAGAGAGAGUAUUGUUGCGCAAGUCAAGAGUGUCCAACUGA